rnacentral:misc_RNA from 1 species
GCAAACUUGGUCAUUUAGAGGAAGUAAAAGUCGUAACAAGGUCUCCGUUGGUGAACCAGCGGAGGGAUCAUUAUAGAGUUUUACAACUCCCAAACCCACUGUGAACCUUAUCAUCUGUUGCUUCGGCGGGCACGCCCCGGGCGCCCAGGCGUCCCGGACCCAGGCGCCCGCCGGAGACCCCAAACUCUUGGUUUUAUACUUGGCUUCUGAGUGGCGUAAUGCAAAACAAAAUAAAUCAAAACUUUCAACAACGGAUCUCUUGGUUCUGGCAUCGAUGAAGAACGCAGC